rnacentral:snRNA from 1 species
ACCUAUAAACCUGUGAUUUUC